rnacentral:rRNA from 1 species
GACGAACGCUGGCGGCGUGCUUAACACAUGCAAGUCGAACGGAAAGGCCCUGCUUGCAGGGUGCUCGAGUGGCGAACGGGUGAGUAACACGUGGGUGAUCUGCCCCUUACUUUGGGAUAAGCCUGGGAAACUGGGUCUAAUACUGGAUAGGACCAUGCUGUAGGUGGUGUGGUGGAAAGAUUAGUUUCGGUAAGGGAUGAGCUCGCGGCCUAUCAGCUUGUUGGUGGGGUAAUGGCCUACCAAGGCGUCGACGGGUAGCCGGCCUGAGAGGGUGGACGGCCACAUUGGGACUGAGAUACGGGCCAGACUCCUACGGGGGGCAGCAGUGGGGAAUAUUGCACAAUGGGCGCAAGCCUGAUGCAGCGACGCCGCGUGGGGGAUGACGGCCUUCGGGUUGUAAACUCCUUUCAGCCAUGACGAAGCCCUUGUGGUGACGGUAGUGGUAGAAGAAGCACCGGCUAACUACGU